rnacentral:rRNA from 1 species
AUAGCAUGCAUGUCUAAGUACACACGAAUUAAAAGUGAAACCGCAAAAGGCUCAUUAUAUCAGUUAUGGUUCCUUAGAUUAUUAACAGUUACUUGGAUAACUGUGGUAAUUCUAGAGCUAAUACAUGCAAUAUAAACACGAAACAUUUAUGUACGUGUGCUUUUAUUAGGCUAAAACCAAGCGAUCUUUCGGGAUUGUUAUAUUGGUUGAACUCUGGAUAAUUUGCAGAUCGUAUGGUCUCGUACCGACGACAAAUCUUUCAAAUGUCUGCCCUAUCAACUAUUGAUGGUAGUAUCUUGGACUACCAUGGUUGCAACGGGUAACGGGGAAUCAGGGUUCGAUUCCGGAGAGGGAGCCUGAGAAACGGCUACCACAUCUAAGGAAGGCAGCAGGCGCGUAAAUUACCCACUCCCAGCUCGGGGAGGUAGUGACGAAAAAUAACAAUACAGGACUCAUAUCCGAGGCCCUGUAAUUGGAAUGAGUACACUUUAAAUCCUUUAACGAGGACCCAUUGGAGGGCAAGUCUGGUGCCAGCCGCCGCGGUAAUUCCAGCUCCAAUAGCGUAUAUUAAAGUUGUUGCGGUUAAAACGUUCGUAGUUGAAUUUGUGCUUCAUACGGGUAGUACACCCUUAUACGGGUCUGUACGUUACCAUUGUAUGUGAGCGUAUUACCGGUGGAGUUUUAAUAUGUAAUUAAUCUUCGGAUUGUUAUUAUAUUUAACUCCGUUUUAAACCUGCUUCAGUUCUCUUAACCGAGUGUUGUUGUGGGCCGGUACAAUUACUUUGAACAAAUUAGAGUGCUUAAAGCACGCUCCAAAUGCCUGAAUAUUUUGUGCAUGGAAAUAAUGGAAUAAGACCUCUGUUCUACUUUCAUUGGUUUUUAGAUCAAGAGGUAAUGAUUAAUAGAAGCAGUUGGGGGCAUUGGUAUUACGACGCGAGAGGUGAAAUUCUUGGACCGUCGUAGACUAACUUAAGCGAAAGCAUUUGCCAAAGAUGUUUUCAUAUCAGACGAAAGUAGAGG